GAUGAAGAACGCAGCGAAAUGCGAUAAGUAAUGUGAAUUGCAGAAUUCAGUGAAUCAUCGAAUCUUUGAACGCACAUUGCGCCCCCUGGUAUUCCGGGGGGCAUGCCUGUUCGAGCGUCAUUGCUGCCCUCAAGCACGGCUUGUGUGUUGGGCCUCCGUCCUCCUCCCGGGGGACGGGCCCGAAAGGCAGCGGCGGCACCGCGUCCGGUCCUCGAGCGUAUGGGGCUUCGUCACCCGCUCUUGUAGGCCCGGCCGGCGCUUGCCGACACAUCAAUCUUUUUUCCAGGUUGACCUCGGAUCAGGUAGGGAUACCCGCUGAACUUAAGCAUAUCAAUAAGCGGAGGA
rnacentral:misc_RNA from 1 species